GAUGAACGCUGGCGGCGUGCUUAACACAUGCAAGUCGAACGGGAAAUGCUUCAUUGAAGCUUUGGCGGAUUUGAUCCAUUUCUAGUGGCGGACGGGUGAGUAACGCGUGGGUAACCUGCCUUGUACUGGGGGAUAACAGCCAGAAAUGGCUGCUAAUACCGCAUAAGCGCACGGAGGCGCAUGCCUCUGUGUGAAAAACUCCGGUGGUAUAAGAUGGACCCGCGUUGGAUUAGCUAGUUGGCAGGGCAAUGGCCUACCAAGGCGACGAUCCAUAGCCGGCCUGAGAGGGUGAACGGCCACAUUGGGACUGAGACACGGCCCAGACUCCUACGGGAGGCAGCAGUGGGGAAUAUUGCACAAUGGGGGAAACCCUGAUGCAGCGACGCCGCGUGAAGGAAGAAGUAUCUCGGUAUGUAAACUUCUAUCAGCAGGGAAGAUAAUGACGGU
rnacentral:rRNA from 1 species